rnacentral:rRNA from 1 species
GAUGAACGCUGGCGGCGUGCCUAAUACAUGCAAGUCGAGCGAACGGACGAGAAGCUUGCUUCUCUGAUGUUAGCGGCGGACGGGUGAGUAACACGUGGAUAACCUACCUAUAAGACUGGGAUAACUUCGGGAAACCGUAGCUAAUACCGGAUAAUAUUUUGAACCGCAUGGUUCAAAAGUGAAAGACGGUCUUGCUGUCACUUAUAGAUGGAUCCGCGCUGCAUUAGCUAGUUGGUAAGGUAACGGCUUACCAAGGCAACGAUGCAUAGCCGACCUGAGAGGGUGAUCGGCCACACUGGAACUGAGACACGGUCCAGACUCCUACGGGAGGCAGCAGUAGGGAAUCUUCCGCAAUGGGCGAAAGCCUGACGGAGCAACGCCGCGUGAGUGGUGAAGGUCUUCGGAUCGUAAAACUCUGUUAUUAGGGAAGAACAUAUGUGUAAGUAACUGUGCACAUCUUGAAGGUACCUAAUCAGAAAGCCACGGCUAACUACGUG